ACUUAAGUAGUUUAAAGUAAAAUAUUGAUUUGUGGUGUCAUUGAUACUAGAUUAGUCUUAGGUC
rnacentral:tRNA from 1 species